ACAGCUCAAAUUUGAAAUCUGGCCUUCGGGUCCGAAUUGUAAUUUGUAGAGGAUGCUUUUGGUUAGGUACUUUCCGAGUUCCCUGGAACGGGACGCCUUAAAGGGUGAGAGCCCCGUACGGUUGGAUACCGAGCCUCUGUAAAGCUCCUUCGACGAGUCGAGUAGUUUGGGAAUGCUGCUCUAAAUGGGAGGUAAAUUUCUUCUAAAGCUAAAUAUUGGCCAGAGACCGAUAGCGCACAAGUAGAGUGAUCGAAAGAUGAAAAGCACUUUGAAAAGAGGGUUAAAUAGCACGUGAAAUUGUUGAAAGGGAAGGGUUUAUGACCAGACUUUUUCUAGGCGGAUCAUCCGGUGUUCUCACCGGUGCACUUCGCCUAGUUGAGGCCAGCAUCGGUUUUUGUAGGGGGAUAAAAGCAGUAGGAAUGUGACUCCCCCGGGAGUGUUAUAGCCUAUUGUAUAAUACCCCUACGGAGACCGAGGUUCGCGCAUCUGC
rnacentral:rRNA from 1 species